rnacentral:rRNA from 1 species
UAGGGAAUCUUCGGCAAUGGACGAAAGUCUGACCGAGCAACGCCGCGUGAGUGAAGAAGGUUUUCGGAUCGUAAAACUCUGUUGUUAGAGAAGAACAAGGACGUUAGUAACUGAACGUCCCCUGACGGUAUCUAACCAGAAAGCCACGGCUAACUACGUGCCAGCAGCCGCGGUAAUACGUAGGUGGCAAGCGUUGUCCGGAUUUAUUGGGCGUAAAGCGAGCGCAGGCGGUUUCUUAAGUCUGAUGUGAAAGCCCCCGGCUCAACCGGGGAGGGUCAUUGGAAACUGGGAGACUUGAGUGCAGAAGAGGAGAGUGGAAUUCCAUGUGUAGCGGUGAAAUGCGUAGAUAUAUGGAGGAACACCAGUGGCGAAGGCGGCCCCCUGGACGAAGACUGACGCUCAGGUGCGAAAGCGUGGGGAGCAAACAGG